rnacentral:rRNA from 1 species
AUAUUAUUAAGUGGAGGAAAAGAAACCAAAAGGGAUUCCCCCAGUAGCUGCGAGCGAAAAGGGAUCAGCCCAAAGCCGAAUCCCUCCGGGGAAAUGUGGCGUAUGGGAGGCGGGUUUUCUGCGCGUGGAGGACGGCUCAAGUUCCCAUGAUCGGGACACCGGAGCGGGUGCGAGUCCCGUACAGUCGUCUUUCUCGCCGCGGAGUUUCCGUUCUCCCGGGAGUCGGGUUGCUUGAUAGUGCAUCCCUAAGUGGGUGGUAAACUCCACCUAAGGCUAAAUAUCCCCGAGAGACCGAUAGCAAAAAAGUACCGUGAGGGAAAGUUGAAAAGAACUUUGAAGAGAGAGUUCAAUAGUACGUGAAACCGCUUAGAGGUAAACGGGUGGGCCCACGAAGUUCUGAAGGCGGUUCGGUUCAGAAGGGCGCGAUGCCCCUUCGCAUUUCCGUGCCGUCGGUAAGAGGCCGCGACUGGUUGGUCGAGGGUCGCAAGUAAAGGUGGCGUUCAGCAUUGACCUUCCUUAGGUUUUUAAGCUCGCUCCUAACUCGGCCGAUCCUCGCACCGACCCAGCACGAGAGAGCCCUCGAACGACGUUCCUUCACCAAAGAACAGGUGGGGGAACGUAAGGUUCUGCGGUCAGUAGAUCGGGUCCCACCCGACCCGUCUUG